UCUUGGUCAUUUAGAGGAAGUAAAAGUCGUAACAAGGUUUCCGUAGGUGAACCUGCGGAAGGAUCAUUACCAAUAUCUGGGAUGCCAAAGACACAGGCUCUCGAUAAAACACAUUUAUGCGUAUCCUCCCAUGUUGCUUUCCCAGGCCAGCGGCCACUGCUGCCAGCCAUGCCAUUUUUCGGUUACAUGGUUGAGGUGCUUGGGGAAGGGCUAAUUAUCAAACUUUACUUCACCUUAUUGUCUGAGAAGGCCAUGUGCCGUAAUCUUUAAACAUGUUAAAACUUUCAACAACGGAUCUCUUGGCUCUCGCAUCGAUGAAGAACGCAGCGAAAUGCGAUAAGUAAUGUGAAUUGCAGAAUUCAGUGAAUCAUCGAAUCUUUGAACGCACAUUGCGCCCUUUGGUAUUCCUUAGGGCAUGCCUGUUCGAGCGUCGCAAAAACCCAGAUCACCUAGAGUGUGGUAUUGGCAGAAGUGGCCGGGGCUAUCAGCGCUGCUACCACUCUGCUGGAAUGAAUAGGCUGGAAAAGUAGAUCAUAGCAACAGACUUUCACAGUAUUUUGAAAUGCUAAAUUAGUUUGAAGCUGAUCGGAACCUAAGCCAUUUGACCCCCAUCCUGCGUAAAGCAGUAAGGUUGACCUCGGAUCAGGUAGGGAUACCCGCUGAACUUAAGCAU
rnacentral:rRNA from 1 species